AUGCUCCCACAGCCACUGCACAUCCCGGCAGGGGGGGGAACCCUCGGAUCUGGAGCGCAGAGCCGGAAGGGAUCCAAGAUUUGGAUCGGGAUCCAACACCUGGAUGGGGAUCAGCUGGGAGUGAUGGGUGCUUGGAGAGUCCUUGGGCAGCACCAUCUGUCUGUCCAUCCAUCCACGGAUCCAUGCCUUCAUUCAUCCCUUUAUCCAUCCAUCCAUCCAUCCAUCCAUCAUCCAUCCAUCAUCCAUCCAUCAUCCAUCCAUCAUCCAUCCAUCCAUCCAUCCAUCCAUCCAUCCAUCCAUCAUCCAUCAUCCAUCCAUCAUCCAUCCAUCCAUCCAUCAUCCAUCCAUCCAUCCAUCAUCCAUCCAUCAUCCAUCCAUCAUCCAUCCAUCAUCCAUCCAUCAUCAUCCAUCCAUCCAUCAUCCAUCCAUCAUCCAUCCAUCAUCCAUCCAUCCAUCCAUCCAUCCAUCAUCCAUCCAUCAUCCAUCCAUCAUCCAUCCAUCCAUCCAUCCAUCCAUCCAUUCAUCAUCCAUCCAUCAUCCAUCCAUCAUCCAUCAUCCAUCCAUCCAUCCAUCCAUCAUCCAUCCAUCAUCCAUCCAUCCAUCCAUCCAUCAUCCAUCCAUCAUCCAUCCAUCAUCCAUCCAUCAUCCAUCAUCCAUCCAUCCAUCAUCCAUCCAUCCAUCAUCCAUCCAUCAUCCAUCCAUCAUCCAUCCAUCAUCCAUCCAUCCAUCCAUCCAUCCAUCCAUCCAUCAUCCAUCCAUCAUCCAUCCAUCCAUCCAUCCAUCCAUCAUCCAUCCAUCAUCCAUCAUCCAUCAUCCAUCCAUCAUCCAUCCAUCCAUCCAUCAUCCAUCCAUCCAUCCAUCCAUCCAUCAUCCAUCCAUCCAUCAUCCAUCCAUCCAUCCAUCCAUCCAUCCAUCAUCCAUCCAUCAUCCAUCCAUCCAUCCAUCCAUCCAUCCAUCCAUCCAUCAUCCAUCCAUCAUCCAUCAUCCAUCCAUCCAUCAUCCAUCCAUCAUCCAUCCAUCCAUCAUCCAUCCAUCCAUCAUCCAUCCAUCCAUCAUCCAUCCAUCCAUCAUCCAUCAUCCAUCAUCCAUCCAUCCAUCCCACACAUGGAUCCCAGUGGGACAGGGACACUCUGCCCUUCCUUCAUCCAUGAAAAACCCCCGGGACUGCUCCGGGAUGGGAUCUGA
rnacentral:lncRNA from 1 species